CCAGAUCCUCUGUCUGUGCCAUUCCCUUACUGCCCCCAGAACUGUCCUCAUGUCCUCCACCAUGCAGUCUGCCUUCAGUCUGCUUUCUAUCCUGGCCCUGCUCCAAGGUGUUCAGGGUGAUGUCCAGCUGGUGGAGUCUGGGGGAGACUUGAGACAGCCUGGCGGGUCUCUGAGCCUCUCCUGUAAAGUCUCCGGAUUGUCCUACAGCAUCUUCUACACAUACUACUACUACAUACACUGGGUCCGCCAGGCUCCAGGGAAGGGACUGGAAUGGGUCGCUAGCUUUGGUAUUGAAAAUAGUUGGACCUACUAUGCAGGCUCUGUGAAAGGCCGAUUCACCAUCUCCUGGGAUAAGUCCAGCAGCCUCCUCAGUUUGCAGAUGAACAACCUGAAAACCGAGGACACGGCCCUGUAUUACUGUGCUGCAGAAUUACUGUACUGCAGACACAGUGAGAGAAACCACAUUGUGUGCCUGUCAGAAACCCUGGGAGGAUUUCUGGGCUGCAGCUGGCUGGGGGAACACAGCACCAGAGACCACAGAUGAUAGCCCCGGACUCUAAGACUAAUCAUUAAUUCUAUUAUUAAUGUUGUUCACAAUUCCAAAACAAGCCCAAGCACAAAAUCCCACUGGUAUGUAAAAUUAAAUGGGAACCACAGCCUGAUUUUUUUCUACAUCUAAUGAAUAUCUAAGAAAAUCCCCUCAACACAGCCAGACAAGUGGCCAUGCGAUUCAGAUGAAAUAAAAACCAAAUGGAAUCAAUCCUGAAAUAUAUUUCAAA